CCUACGGGUGGCAGCAGUGGGGAAUAUUGCACAAUGGGCGCAAGCCUGAUGCAGCCAUGCCGCGUGUGUGAAGAAGGCCUUCGGGUUGUAAAGCACUUUCAGCGGGGAGGAAGGCGUUAAGGUUAAUAACCUUGUCGAUUGACGUUACCCGCAGAAGAAGCACCGGCUAACUCCGUGCCAGCAGCCGCGGUAAUACGGAGGGUGUAAGCGUUAAUCGGAAUUACCGGGCGUAAAGCGCACGCAGGCGGUCUGUCAAGUCGGAUGUGAAAUCCCCGGGCUCAACCUGGGAACUGCAUUCGAAACUGGCAGGCUAGAGUCUUGUAGAGGGGGGUAGAAUUCCAGGUGUAGCGGUGAAAUGCGUAGAGAUCUGGAGGAAUACCGGUGGCGAAGGCGGCCCCCUGGACAAAGACUGACGCUCAGGUGCGAAAGCGUGGGGAGCAAACAGGAUUAGAUACCCGAGUAGUC
rnacentral:rRNA from 1 species